rnacentral:rRNA from 1 species
UACAGAGGUCCCAAGCGUUGUUCGGAUUUACUGGGCGUAAAGGGUGCGUAGGUGGCUUGGUAAGUUGAAGGUGAAAUCUCGGGGCUUAACUCCGAAACUGCCUUCAAUACUGCCGGGCUCGAGGACUGUAGAGGAGAAUGGAAUUCACGGUGUAGCAGUGAAAUGCGUAGAUAUCGUGAGGAAGACCAGUGGCGAAGGCGAUUCUCUGGGCAGUUCCUGACACUGAGGCACGAAGGCUAGGGGAGCAAACGGG